UGGGGGAUGAAUGGCUUCGGCCGUAAACCCCUGUCAUUUGCGAACAAACCUUGCUAUUUAAAAGAUGGCAAGCUGAUUGUAGCGAAAGAGGAAGGGACGGCUAACUCUGUGCCAGCAGCCGCGGUAAUACAGAGGUCCCAAGCGUUGUUCGGAUUCACUGGGCGUAAAGGGUGCGUAGGUGGUCGGGUAAGUCUGAUGUGAAAUCUCCGAGCUUAACUCGGAAACUGCAUCGGAUACUAUUCGGCUUGAGGGUUGGAGGGGGGACUGGAAUGCUUGGUGUAGCAGUGAAAUGCGUAGAUAUCAAGCGGAACACCAGUGGCGAAGGCGAGUCCCUGGACAACUCCUGACACUGAGGCACGAAAGCUAGGGGAGCAAACAGGAUUAGAUACCCUGGUAGUCCUAGCCGUAAACGGUGCACGUUUGCUAGUAAAAGGAAUCCGACCCCUUUUGUGGCGAAGCUAACGCGUUAAACGUGCCGCCUGGGAAGUACGGUCGCAAGAUUA
rnacentral:rRNA from 1 species